rnacentral:rRNA from 1 species
GACGAACGCUGGCGGCGUGCUUAACACAUGCAAGUCGAACGAUGAAGCCGGAGCUUGCUCCGGUGGAUUAGUGGCGAACGGGUGAGUAACACGUGAGCAAUCUGCCCUUGACUCUGGGAUAACUGCGGGAAACUGUAGCUAAUACCGGAUACGACACCUUGGGGCAUCCCAGGGUGUGGAAAGAAUUUCGGUCAAGGAUGAGCUCGCGGCCUAUCAGCUAGUUGGUGAGGUAAUGGCUCACCAAGGCGACGACGGGUAGCCGGCCUGAGAGGGUGGCCGGCCACACUGGAACUGAGUCACGGUCCAGGCUCCUACGGGAGGCAGCAGUGGGGAAUAUUGCACAAUGGGCGAAAGCCUGAUGCAGCAACGCCGCGUGAGGGAUGAAGGCCUUCGGGUUGUAAACCUCUUUUAGCAGGGAAGAAGCGAAAGUGACGGUACCUGCAGAAAAAGCACCGGCUAACUACGUGCCAGCCGCCGCAGUAA